rnacentral:lncRNA from 1 species
UGCGGCACGGUGUGAGGCUUGUCAGACCUAAAUAGCGCUAUCUAACUAAUGACCCGCUCGCCAUUGGCCCGGCGAUUAGUCGAUACAAAAAGGAGGGACUUCGUGAUAGAGUUUUAGUCUAGUACGUUUAUCCGUCCAUCCGGACGAGGAAUCACAUUCCUGAACCACUGACGUCCUACCCGAGGUAGACGAGGAACCCACGUUCCUUAACCCCGUUCCCAACCCAGGGAAUCCCAUGCUUUGUAAAGGAGUGUGAACUCACCUUGGUUUGCU